rnacentral:piRNA from 1 species
UCCUCAGUGCCUUAAUAGAUCCUAAGU